rnacentral:rRNA from 1 species
AAGUCGUAACAAGGUUUCCGUAGUCAACCUGCGGAAGGAUCAUUAUCGUAUAACGGAGGUGCUGGGGCUGUUGCUAACUUUGUGCACGCCCCAGUGCUCUCUUACAAUCCAUCUUAUCCCCUUCUGUGCAUCACCGCGUGGGCGCUCUCCUUUUAGUUCGUUCUGAAAGGGGGUGUUUGCGCUUUUAUAUAGACCCACUGCAUGCGUAGAACGUCUUACUAUUUGCUAUAACACGCAAUCAAUACAACUUUCAACAACGGAUCUCUUGGCUCUCGCAUCAAUGAAGAACGCAGCGAAAUGCGAUACGUAAUGUGAAUUGCAGAAUUCAGUGAAUCAUCGAAUCUUUGAACGCACCUUGCACCCCUUGGAAUUCCGAGGGGCACACCCGUUUGAGUGUCGUGAACAUCCUUCAACCUUUCUUGGGUUUUCAAUCAAGGAAGGCUUGGACUUUGGAGGUUUUCAUUGCUGGCCUUCCUUGAAGCCAGCUCCUCCUAAAUGGAUUAGUGGGUCUGCUUGCCGAUCCUUGACGUGAUAAGUGUUCUACGUCUUGGG